GUUUUUAUAGUGUAAUUCUCUAACACAUUACAUUUUCGUUGUAAAGCUGAAAACAUUCUUUCUAAAAACUC
rnacentral:tRNA from 1 species